rnacentral:rRNA from 1 species
UACAGAGGGUGCAAGCGUUAAUCGGAAUUACUGGGCGUAAAGCGCACGUAGUCGGCUUUGCAAGUCGGGUGUGAAAUCCCCAGGCUUAACCUGGGAACUGCAUCCGAUACUGGAUGGCUUGAAUCCGGGAGAGGGAUGCAGAAUUCCAGGUGUAGCGGUGAAAUGCGUAGAUAUCUGGAGGAAUACCGGUGGCGAAGGCGGCAUCCUGGACCGGCAUUGACGCUGAUGAGCGAAAGCUAGGGGAGCAAACGGG